UACGAGGGGGGCGAGCGUUGUUCGGAAUUAUUGGGCGUAAAGGGCGCGUAGGCGGUGCGGUAAGUCACCUGUGAAACCUCUAGGCUUAACCUAGAGCCUGCAGGCGAAACUGCCGUGCUGGAGUGUGGGAGAGGUGCGUGGAAUUCCCGGUGUAGCGGUGAAAUGCGUAGAUAUCGGGAAGAACACCGGUGGCGAAGGCGGCUCGCUGGGCCGUUGCUGACGCUGAGGCGCGAAAGCGUGGGGAGCAAACAGG
rnacentral:rRNA from 1 species